rnacentral:rRNA from 1 species
ACGUGCUCCAAAGAGAACCGGCGCACAGGUGCUGCAUGGCUGUCGUCAGCUCGUGUCGUGAGAUGUUGGGUUAAGUCCCGCAACGAGCGCAACCCUUGUCCUUAGUUGCUACGCAAGAGCACUCUAAGGAGACUGCCGGUGACAAACCGGAGGAAGGUGGGGAUGACGUCAAGUCCUCAUGGCCCUUAUGGGUAGGGCUUCACACGUCAUACAAUGGUCGGAACAGAGGGUUGCCAAGCCGCGAGGUGGAGCCAAUCCCAGAAAACCGAUCGUAGUCCGGAUCGCAGUCUGCAACUCGACUGCGUGAAGCUGGAAUCGCUAGUAAUCGCGGAUCAACAUGCCGCGGUGAAUACGUU